rnacentral:rRNA from 1 species
ACUCCAAGAUUAGAUAUCCCAUUGCAUAAGCAAGUAAGACCCCUUGAGGACUACGAGGUUGAUAGGCUGCAUGUGUAAGUGUCGUGAGGCAUUUAGCUUGGCAGUACUAAUAGGUCGAGGGCUUGACCACA